rnacentral:rRNA from 1 species
UACGGAGGGUGCAAGCGUUGCUCGGAAUUAUUGGGCGUAAAGGGUAGGUAGGUGGUCUCGUUUGUCUGGGGUGAAAGCCUUGGGCUUAACUCAAGAAGUGCCCCAGAAACGGCGAGACUAGAGUCCUAGAGAGGGUCGUGGAAUUCCCGGUGUAGCGGUGAAAUGCGUAGAGAUCGGGAGGAACACCAGAGGCGAAGGCGGCGACCUGGAUAGGUACUGACACUCAACUACGAAAGCGUGGGGAGCAAACAGG